rnacentral:rRNA from 1 species
GACGAACGCUGGCGGCGUGCCUAAUACAUGCAAGUUGAGCGAUGAAGCUUGGUGCUUGCACCUAUUUGCAGAGCAGCGAACGGGUGAGUAACGCGUGGGGAAUCUGCCUUUGAGCGGGGGACAACAUUUGGAAACGAAUGCUAAUACCGCAUAAUAACUUUAAACAUAAGUUUUAAGUUUGAAAGAUGCAAUUGCAUCACUCAAAGAUGAUCCCGCGUUUUAUUAGCUAGUUGGUGAGGUAAAGGCUCACCAAGGCGAUGAUACAUAGCCGACCUGAGAGGGUGAGCGGCCACAUUGGGACGGAGACACGGCCCAAACGCCUAAGGGAGGCAGCAGUAGGGAAUCUUCGGCAAUGGACGAAAGUCUGACCGAGCAACGCCGCGGGAGUGAAGAAGGGUUUCGGAUCGUAAAACUCGGUUGGUAGAGAAGAACGUUGGUGAGAGUGGAAAGCUCAUCAAGUGACGGUAACUACCCAGAAAGGGACGGCUAACUACGUG